CAGUCGCCGCGGGAAAACCAGCACCUCGAGUGGUCAGGAGGUUUAUUGGGCCUAAAGCAUCCGUAGCCGGUUGCAUAAGUUUUCGGUUAAAUCUAUGCGCUUAACGCAUAGGCCGCCGAAAAUACUGUGCAGCUAGGGAGUGGGAGAGGUACACGGUACUCGAUAGGAAGGGGUAAAAUCCUUUGAUCUAUUGAUGACCACCUGUGGCGAAGGCGGUGUACCAGAACACGUUCGACGGUGAGGGAUGAAAGCUGGGGGAGCAAACCGGAUUAGAGACCCGAGUAGUCCCUGUCUCUUAUAC
rnacentral:rRNA from 1 species